GACGUAGGGCGCGAGCGUUGUCCGGAUUUAUUGGGCGUAAAGAGCUCGUAGGCGGCUUGUCGCGUCGACUGUGAAAACCCGCGGCUCAACUGCGGGUCUGCAGUCGAUACGGGCAGGCUAGAGUUCGGUAGGGGAGACUGGAAUUCCUGGUGUAGCGGUGAAAUGCGCAGAUAUCAGGAGGAACACCGAUGGCGAAGGCAGGUCUCUGGGCCGAUACUGACGCUGAGGAGCGAAAGCGUGGGGAGCGAACAGG
rnacentral:rRNA from 1 species